rnacentral:rRNA from 1 species
GAUGAACGCUGGCGGCGUGCCUAAUACAUGCAAGUCGAGCGAACGGACGAGAAGCUUGCUUUUCUGAUGUUAGCGGCGGACGGGUGAGUAACACGUGGAUAACCUACCUAUAAGACUGGGAUAACUUCGGGAAACCGGAGCUAAUACCGGAUAAUAUUUUGAACCGCAUGGUUCAAAAGUGAAAGACGGUCUUGCUGUCACUUAUAGAUGGAUCCGCGCUGCAUUAGCUAGUUGGUAAGGUAACGGCUUACCAAGGCAACGAUGCAUAGCCGACCUGAGAGGGUGAUCGGCCACACUGGAACUGAGACACGGUCCAGACUCCUACGGGAGGCAGCAGUAGGGAAUCUUCCGCAAUGGGCGAAAGCCUGACGGAGCAACGCCGCGUGAGUGAUGAAGGUCUUCGGAUCGUAAAACUCUGUUAUUAGGGUAGAACAUAUGUGUAAGUAACUGUGCACAUCUUGACGGUACCUAAUCAGAAAGCCACGGCUAACUACGUG